rnacentral:rRNA from 1 species
AUUGAACGCUGGCGGCAUGCCUUACACAUGCAAGUCGAACGGUAACAGGUCUUCGGAUGCUGACGAGUGGCGAACGGGUGAGUAAUACAUCGGAACGUGCCUAGUAGUGGGGGAUAACUACUCGAAAGAGUGGCUAAUACCGCAUGAGAUCUACGGAUGAAAGCAGGGGAUCGCAAGACCUUGUGCUACUAGAGCGGCCGAUGGGAGAUUAGGUAGUUGGUGGGAUAAAAGCUUACCAAGCCGACGAUCUGUAGCUGGUCUGAGAGGACGAUCAACCACACUGGGACUGAGACACGGCCCAGACUCCUACGGGAGGCAGCAGUGGGGAAUUUUGGACAAUGGGCGCAAGCCUGAUCCAGCAAUGCCGCGUGCAGGAUGAAGGCCUUCGGGUUGUAAACUGCUUUUGUACGGAACGAAAAGCCCCGGGUUAAUACCCUGGGGUCAUGACGGUACCGUAAGAAUAAGCACCGGCUAACUACGUGCCAGCCGCCGCCGUAA